AUUGAACGCUGGCGGCAUGCUUUACACAUGCAAGUCGAACGGCAGCGCGGGCUUCGGCCUGGCGGCGAGUGGCGAACGGGUGAGUAAUACAUCGGAACGUGCCCAGUAGUGGGGGAUAGCUCGGCGAAAGCCGGAUUAAUACCGCAUACGACCUGAGGGUGAAAGCGGGGGAUCUUCGGACCUCGCGCUAUUGGAGCGGCCGAUGGCAGAUUAGCUAGUUGGUGGGGUAAAGGCCUACCAAGGCGACGAUCUGUAGCUGGUCUGAGAGGACGACCAGCCACACUGGGACUGAGGCACGGCCCAGACUCCUACGGGAGGCAGCAGUGGGGAAUUUUGGACAAUGGGCGAAAGCCUGAUCCAGCAAUGCCGCGUGCGUGAUGAAGGCCUUCGGGUUGUAAAGCACUUUUGGCGGGAACGAAAAGGACUGUGCCAAUACCACGGUUCGAUGACGGUACCCGCAGAAUAAGCACCGGCUAACUACGUG
rnacentral:rRNA from 1 species